rnacentral:rRNA from 1 species
GGACCCGCACAAGUAGUGGAGCAUGUGGUUUAAUUCGAAGAUACGCGCAGAACCUUACCAACACUUGACAUGUUCGUCGCGACUCUAAGAGAUUAGAGUUUUCGGUUCGGCCGGACGAAACACAGGUGCUGCAUGGCUGUCGUCAGCUCGUGUCGUGAGAUGUUGGGUUAAGUCCCGCAACGAGCGCAACCCUCACUUUUAGUUGCCAUCAUUAAGUUGGGCACUCUGAAAGAACUGCCAGUGAUAAGCUGGAGGAAGGUGGGGAUGACGUCAAGUCCUCAUGGCCCUUACGUGUUGGGCUACACACGUGCUACAAUGGCAUCUACAACAGGAAGCAAAACGGCAACGUUAAGCAAAUCCCGAAAAGAUGCCUCAGUUCGGAUUGCACUCUGCAACUCGAGUGCAUGAAGCUGGAAUU